AGGAUCUUGCUCUGUUGCCCAGGCUGGAGUGCAGUGGCACAAUCAUAGCUCACUAUAACCUCAAACUCUCAGGCUCAAGGGAUCCUCUUGCCUCAGCCUCCCAAGUAGCUGGGACCACAGAGGAGAAUGUGGCUGGCUCUGAUGUUGAGUGAUAAGGGAACAGAGAGAGGUAGGAAGGCCUGAACCAGCCAAGAGACUUUACCUGAGACAAAGCAGCUGCCGUUUUAUGAGGACACUCAAGCGGCUCUAUGGAGAGGCCCACAUAGUGAGAAACUGAGGCCUCCUGCCAAAAACCAGCAUCAACUUGUCAGUCAUGUGACUGAACCAUCCUGGAAGCAGAUCUUCCCGCUCCAGUCAACCCUGCAGUUGAUCACAGCCCCAGUGGAUCAACUUGUCAGUCAUGUGACUGAACCAUCCUGGAAGCAGAUCUUCCCGCUCCAGUCAACCCUGCAGUUGAUCACAGCCCCAGUGGAUCAACUUGUCAGUCAUGUGACUGAACCAUCCUGGAAGCAGAUCUUCCCGCUCCAGUCAACCCUGCAGUUGAUCACAGCCCCAGUGGAUACUUUGGCUGCAGAGAGACCAUGAUCUAGAACAAAUUAGCUAAGUUGCUUCUGAAUUCCUGACUCACAGGAACUGUUUGAUUAAAAUAAUAAAUAUCUUAUGUUGUAACAAGUC